AACCAAAACCAACUAAUCACCAAUUAAAGAAGAGAGACAGCCCAGUCAUUAAGGACUUGAUGUGGAGAACUUUUGCACAUAGAGGAACAUACGACAUACAAAUGAGCAUCAGUGACAUGAAGCACAGGUGGCCUACCUUGUUUAAUGUCUCACAGGUUGGCGCAGAGUUUCUAAUGCUCACAAAACAGAAGGGAGGCAAAAGGACAUUGCAGUAAUUGAACUUACGCAUCUGUAUCCCUAAGGAGAAGCUUACACAAGUGCAGCUUCAUCUUGGAAUGCCAAACAAGAAACUACUGCAGGAGGUUGAGACACGAUGGAACAGCACAUACUUAAUGCUGCAAUGAUUGGUCGAAUUAAGGGAGCCAGUUGGAGCAGCAUCCGCAGGGCUCCAACACGACAGACCACUCCUGACGUCUGAUGAAUUCACCAUUGUUGGAGGGUGCCUUUCCCUGCUGUCUCCGUUUUAUGAUGCCACGGCUGAGCUGUCAGCAGAGAAACAUGUGCCUCUAAAGUUGUCCCCCUCUUGAAAAUGCUUGAGCAAACUCUUCAGGAGGAAGUGACAAAGCCGGCCUCAGUAGUUGCACGUGAAAUGGGAGAGCAACUCAUAUGGCUCCUCCGGGAGAAGCUCCACACUUUACAAUCAAUGAGCAUCAUGUCCCUAGCUACACUCCUGGACCCGCGAUUUAAAGUGAUAGGCUUCUUCAGCCCAAAUAAGGCAUCAGAAGCGAUCAAGCGUCUGACCUCAGAGUGUGCCACGUUGAUAAGGUCCAAACAGGACAGACAGGAAACUCCCCAAGCAUCUACUUCUCAUGAUGACACCGGAGGAAGCAAACUGUGGCUUCGUUUUGACACGAGUGUAAAGGAGGCACAGAAGACUCAAAACG